GAGGAACGCUGGCGGCGUGGAUUAGGCAUGCAAGUCGAACGGUAUCAUCCUUUCGGGGGUGAGAGAGUGGCGAACUGGUGAGUAACACGUAGGUUAUCUACCCUCAAGACGGGGACAACCCAGGGAAACUUGGGCUAAUACCGGAUGUGAGCAACUUUUAGUUGUUUGAAAGGUGGCGUAAGCUGUCGCUUGGGGAUGAGCCUGCGUCCUAUUAGUUAGUUGGUGAGGUAACGGCUCACCUAGGCAAUGAUAGGUAGGCGGCCUUAACGGGUGGUCGCCCACACUGGGAUUGAGAUACGGCCCAGACUCCUACGGGAGGCAGCAGUCGAGAAUAGUCUACAAUGGUCGGAAGACUGAUAGUGCGACGCCGCGUGAACGAUGAAUCCCUUCGGGGUGUAAAGUCUUUUAUAUGUGAGCAGUGCUUCUUAUAUUAACAGUAUGGGGAGAGAGAUAUUAGCAUAUGAAUAAGCAACGGCUAACUCCGUG
rnacentral:rRNA from 1 species